GGGUUUGUAGCUCAGCUGGUUAGAGCACACGCCUGAUAAGCGUGAGGUCGGAAGUUCAAGUCUUCUCAAACCCA
rfam:Candidatus Rickettsia amblyommii str. GAT-30V, complete genome.